AUUGAACGCUGGCGGCAUGCCUUACACAUGCAAGUCGAACGGUAACAGGUCUUCGGAUGCUGACGAGUGGCGAACGGGUGAGUAAUACAUCGGAACGUGCCUAGUAGUGGGGGAUAACUACUCGAAAGAGUGGCUAAUACCGCAUGAGAUCUACGGAUGAAAGCAGGGGAUCGCAAGACCUUGUGCUACUAGAGCGGCCGAUGGCAGAUUAGGUAGUUGGUGGGAUAAAAGCUUACCAAGCCGACGACCUGUAGCUGGUCUGAGAGGACGAUCAGCCACACUGGGACUGAGAAACAGUCCAGAGUCCUAGGGGGGGCAGCAGUGGGGAAUUUUGGACAAUGGGCGAAAGCCUGAUCCAGCAAUGCCGCGUGCAGAAUGAAGGCCUUCGGGUUGUAAACUGCUCUUGUACGGAACGAAAAGCCCCGGGUUAAUAACCUGGGGUCAUGACGGUACCGUAAGAAUAAGCACCGGCUAACUACGUGCCAGCCGCCGCAGUAA
rnacentral:rRNA from 1 species